ACCUCGGUAGCUUAGUGAUCAGAGCAGCAGGGCGUAAACCUGAAGAAUUGGAUUCGUAUCCCAAUCGAGGUC